AUUUGCCUCAUUUUUGGGGCCAUUUUGGGGCUUUUUGGGGCCUUUUAACAAAUGGGGUUUUUGGGGGGGUGAUGGGGGGCUGUGCCCCAUAAGUGUGGGGCAGAACUGAGCCCCAUAAGUGUGAGGCUGAGCCCCAUAAGUGCGGUCUCUGCCCCAUAAGUGUGGGGCAGAACCCAUAAAGGGGAGGGGGCCGGAGCACAGGACCCCCCCCACCCUAUGGAGCAGCCCUGACCCCCAAGUGUGGGGCUGAGACCCCCUAAGUGUGGGGCAGACCCAUAGAUGUGGGUCAGAGCCCCCUAAGUGUGGGGCAGAACCCCCCUCUCUGUGGGGCAGAACCCAUUAUGUGCCCCCCCCUUAUCAGUAUGGAGCACCCCCAGCCCCCCAAGUGUGGGGCAGACCCAUAGAUGUGGGGCAGAACCCCCCCCAAGUGUGGGGCAGACCCCCAUAUGUGGGUCAGAGCCCCCUUAGUGUGGGUCCUGUUGCCCCCCCACCCUCCAUAUGUGGGGCAGACCCCCAAGUGUGGGGCAGACCCCCAAGUGUGGGUCAGAGCCCCCUUAGUGUGGGUCCUGCUGCUCCCACCCCCCAUAUGUGGGGCAGACCCCCAAGUGUGGGGCAGAACCCCCCCUUAGUGUGGGUCCUACUGCUCCCACACCCCAUAUGUGGGGCAGACCCCCAAGUGUGGGUCCUGCUGCCCCCCCCAAAACCCAUAUGUGGGGCAGACCCCCAAGUGUGGGGCAGACCCCCAAGUGUGGGGCAGAAACCCCCCUAAGUGUGGGUCCUACUGCCCCCCCACCCCCCAUAUGUGGGGCAGACCCCCAAGUGUGGGUCCCACAGCCCCCCCCCCAUUAACUUGGAGACCCCCCCCUCAUCUGUUUUAUUGUGGGUGGGGGGUCCCCUCAAUGUGGUCUCAAUGGGGGCCGAGGGGUCCCCGAAUUAGGGGGGGGGUCCAGGGCCGGGGGGAGACCCCUGGGUUGUGGGGCAGCCCCCCAAGUGUUG
rnacentral:lncRNA from 1 species